CACGUAGGGGGCGAGCGUUGUCCGGAAUCACUGGGCGUAAAGCGCACGCAGGCGGAUGCGCGCGUCGGCUGUGAAAUGCACCGGCUCAACCGGUGCACUGCGGUCGAUACGGCGCGUCUGGAGUGCGGGAGAGGGAAGCGGAAUUCCCGGUGUAGCGGUGAAAUGCGUAGAUAUCGGGAGGAACGCCGGUGGCGAAGGCGGCUUCCUGGCCCGCAACUGACGCUCAUGUGCGAAAGCCAGGGGAGCGAACCGGAUUAGAUACCCGCGUAGUCC
rnacentral:rRNA from 1 species